AGAGUACAGUACUUACCUAUAGUUCUUUUUGUUUUUAGCCUUACCGUAUCUAGUCAAAACACUGUUCUCCAAAGCUAGGUUAGCUACUGUAUUUUCUUCCUCAGCCCCUUUAGUGUGGUUUCCUCAUUCAUUUGUAAUACAGCUAUGCUUAUUUAUUAGUGCUUGUAUUUCAUUUUGGAUUCUGCACACAUAUUGAUUGAUUUUGAUUAUUUAUUGAGAGAAUGUGAAAUAUUACUGAUUUUAAGAGUGAAAACUGUUACACAAAAAGGCAUUCUACUUGGUUUAACAAGUCCAAAAGAGAAUUCCUGAUUUUCUUCCCCAAACCUGCUUUUUCACCUAACCUUCUUUAUCUCAGUGAGUAACACUGUCCCAAAGCAACAGGCAGCCCAUUAAUAAGUUGUUUGUUCUAUUCCAAAGUGCAUUCAAAGUAGGAUUGCUUGUUGCCAUCUCAGCUGCUACAGCUCAGCUCUAGGGUAGGCUGUGAUUUUCUGGGCUAGACUGCUGUAGCAGCCUCCUUAACUGGUUUCUCCCUAUCUGUCCUUUCUUCACACAAUAGUCAGAGUGAUCUUUUAAACAUGUAAAUCAGGUUGCCCCAUGGGCUUGGUUUGUGAGAAAGGGCCUGGUCCAGUCUGUCAGGACUACGGAGGCUUGUUUCUUGCCAUCCUUUCCACCUUGGGUUUACGCACUUCUCACCUCCAUCUGGCUGGGUGUGGGGAAGACCUGCCAGAGCCACAGAAGACAAGGUCGUUCCCAUGGCCAACUAAAUGGACAAGAUGGUGCAGAAGAAUACAGCUGAUGCAUUGGAUUUGCCAAAGGAGCUUAAAAAUAUUCCCAUGACCUUGGAAUUAUUACAGCCCAGAGAAGAAUCAGAGUAUCAGUUAAUGCUAAUGGCAAACAGCAUAAAGAUGAAGAAGUUAUAUCUUCAACAGUCUGUCGUGAAAUCUGGGAAAAAGUUACUAUCAACCAAGAAAGACCCUGAAGAAAAGAAAAAAGAACCUGUAGUAACAUUGCAGAAUAGCCCUGAAGCGAGAGAAGAAACUAGCUCCGGUGGCAAUGCAAGCAGCAGAAAGGGUGAGACAAAUGCUCUAGAUACUCGUGUUUCAUCCUUUAUUCAGGAAUGAAGCACUUCUGACUCUGCUUGGUUAAAGUGUUGGGAGGUGCUUGCUGCAGCUCUCCGAACAGGAGAUGGCUACACUGCUAUUGGAACUGGUGAGGAAGAAUUAGGAUCUCAAGUUGAGGAGACUGCAUAUCAAGAAAUUAAGGAAUAUAGAUACAAAAUGCAAAGGUGGAGUAUGAAGUAGGAUAUCAAAUCUUAAAGAGCAAAGAAUCCAAAUUUAAGGGAAAAUGUACCAUGUGAGAAUAUUCCUAAUGUCUUAUUUGCUAGAAUGAUGGCACAGGAAAUGGCCAGUGAUGGGCUCAGAGAGAUAUGGAAAAACUUGACCAAAGAAGCCAUCAGAGAGCAUUAGGUGGCCAAGGCAAGUGGAACCCAGAGUGGCUUGUUCACGUAUACAGAUAUAGUGCUGAUGGACUGA